AUUGAACGCUGGCUGCAGGCUUAACACAUGCAAGUCGAGCGGAGAUGAGGUGCUUGCACCUUAUCUUAGCGGCGGACGGGUGAGUAAUGCUUAGGAAUCUGCCUAUUAGUGGGGGACAACAUUCCGAAAGGGAUGCUAAUACCGCAUACGUCCUACGGGAGAAAGCAGGGGAUCUUCGGACCUUGCGCUAAUAGAUGAGCCUAAGUCGGAUUAGCUAGUUGGUGGGGUAAAGGCCUACCAAGGCGACGAUCUGUAGCGGGUCUGAGAGGAUGAUCCGCCACGCUGGGACUGAGACACGGACCAGACUCCUACGGGAGGCAGCAGUGGGGAAUAUUGGACAAUGGGGGGAACCCUGAUCCAGCCAUGCCGCGUGUGUGAAGAGGGCCUUAUGGUUGUAAAGCUCUUUAAGCGAGGAGGAGGCUACUGAGACUAAUACUCUUGGAUAGUGGACGUUACUCGCAGAAUAAGCACCGGCUAACUCUGUGCCAGCCGCCGCGGUAACAC
rnacentral:rRNA from 1 species